AGUGACUGUUAUUCUGUGUUUGCAUCUUCGAUGCUCAGAAGAUUGUUUUUUAUUAGUCUUUUUUCUUCAUUUCAGAAAGUACAUGGGAGGUAUUAAUGGGAUGUGGGCUUUUGUAUCUUAACAUUUAAAUGUAACCAUAGGGAUGUUCUCUUAGGGUAUGUGGUAGGUUUGUGCUUAGUAAGUGGCCGGAAAUGACUUAGUCUUUACUGACAAGUAGAUUAUUGUUUUCCUCUCAAUUUAUGCAAUGCUUUCUCUUCCUACAGAUUUCAGAACUGAUAUUCCCACCUCUUCCAAUGUGGCACCCUUUGCCCAGAAAAAAGCCAGGAAUGUACCGAGGGGGUGGCCAUCAGAGUCACUACCCUCCUCCUGUUCCAUUUGCUUAUCCAAGUCCAGGAAGGAAGAAUAAAGCGUUCCGCCCAAUUCCAGUGACAUGGGUACCUCCUCCUGGAAUGCAUUGUGACCGGAAUCACUGGAUUAAUCCUCACAUGUUAGCACCUCACUAGCUCAUUUGAUUGUGCUGAUGUUAUGUUGAUAGAAAGGAAGAAAUACCUUCCUAGAUACUAAGAGUUCAUACUUGUAGUGAAGUCAGAUGGACAAAACCAUCAGGCUUAUUUUUAUAGAAAAGCUAUUGAGAAUAAUCUUUCUUAAAGUAUAUAUAUAUAUGCACUUUAGAUAUAUUGAUAUAGUUUGAGAAACUUUAUUAAAGUUAGUCAAGUGCCUGAGUUUUUAAUAUUGGACUUGAGUAUUUAUAUAUUGUGCAUUGACUCUGUUGGAUACAAAACACUGUAGGAGGGCGAUAUGUUCUAGCACCUUUGAGCAUUUACUUUAUGGAGAAUAUGUAAGUUAUUUAUACAGAAGGACAUCUAUUUUAUGUCACAUAGAAGAAUUGUGUGAAAUCAUGUAGUUGCAAAUAAAAAGUAGUUUGAGGC
rnacentral:lncRNA from 1 species